AGCCCAUGAUGAUAAACCCCAUGUAUUUUUCUGACACCUCAUAUGAGCUAUGCAUUGAUUCUACUGCACAUCUGAGGCUU